rnacentral:rRNA from 1 species
UACGUAGGGGGCAAGCGUUGUCCGGAUUUAUUGGGCGUAAAGAGCGUGUAGGCGGCCUGAAAGGUCAGCUGUGAAAACUCGAGGCUCAACCUCGAGACGUCGGUUGAAACCAUCUGGCUAGAGUCCGAAAGAGGAGCGUGGAAUUCCCGGUGUAGCGGUGAAAUGCGCAGAUAUCGGGAAGAACACCCGUGGCGAAGGCGGCUCUCUGGGACGGUACUGACGCUGAGACGCGAAAGCGUGGGGAGCGAACAGG